rnacentral:rRNA from 1 species
CCUACGGGAGGCAGCAGUGGGGAAUCUUGCGCAAUGGGCGGAAGCCUGACGCAGCCAUGCCGCGUGAAUGAUGAAGGUCUUAGGAUUGUAAAAUUCUUUUCACCGGGGACGAUAAUGACGGUACCCGGAGAAGAAGCCCCGGCUAACUUCGUGCCAGCAGCCGCGGUAAUACGAAGGGGGGCUAGCGUUGCUCGGAAUUACUGGGCGUAAAGGGAGCGUAGGCGGAUAGUUUAGUCAGAGGUGAAAGCCCAGGGCUCAACCUUGGAAUUGCCUUUGAUACUGGCUAUCUUGAGUAUGGGAGAGGUUAGCGGAACUCCGAGUGUAGAGGUGAAAUUCGUAGAUAUUCGGAAGAACACCAGUGGCGAAGGCGGCUAACUGGCCCAUUACUGACGCUGAGGCUCGAAAGCGUGGGGAGCAAACAGGAUUAGAUACCCUGGUAGUCCACGCCGUAAACGAUGAGUGCUAGUUGUCGGCAUGCAUGCAUGUCGGUGACGCAGCUAACGCAUUAAGCACUCCGCCUGGGGGAGGUACGGUCGCGAGAUAAACUAACAAAGAAGUUAGAGNGUUGAGAGNGCGAGGCGACGACGAGGAGAGG